rnacentral:rRNA from 1 species
CUCCUACGGGAGGCUGCAGUAAGGAAUAUUGGUCAAUGGACGAAAGUCUGAACCAGCCAUGCCGCGUGAAGGAUGAAGGCCCUCUGGGUUGUAAACUUCUUUUAUAGGGGACGAAAAAAGAUCAUUCUUGAUCACUUGACGGUACUCUAGGAAUAAGCACCGGCUAACUCCGUGCCAGCAGCCGCGGUAAUACGGAGGGUGCAAGCGUUAUCCGGAUUCACUGGGUUUAAAGGGUGCGUAGGUGGGCUUGUAAGUCAGUGGUGAAAUCUCCGGGCUUAACCCGGAAACUGCCAUUGAUACUAUAGGUCUUGAAUCAUCUGGAGGUGAGCGGAAUAUGUCAUGUAGCGGUGAAAUGCUUAGAUAUGACAUAGAACACCGAUUGCGAAGGCAGCUCACUACGGAUGUAUUGACACUGAGGCACGAAAGCGUGGGGAUCAAACAGGAUUAGAUACCCUGGUAGUCCACGCCCUAAACGAUGGAUACUCGACAUUUGUGAUAUACUAUAAGUGUCUGAGCGAAAGCAUUAA